AGAUGAAAGCAUCUUUCUCCAUGGACCAGUUUUAGUAGUAGUUUGGGACUGUUUCUCAGCCUCUUCAAACUUUUCAAAAUUUUGAGUAUCCAGCUCAUCCUUGACCUCAGGGAUAAAUGCAGCCUCCAUCAGAUAAAGCUUAUCCCAUUCAAUACCAUUAAAAAAUGGAUGAGCCUUUAUUUCAUCUGCGCCUUUUGAUCCCAAUCUCUGGUUGACAUUACACAAGAGUUUACUAAUAAGAUCCUUAGCCUCUGGAGAUAGUCUUGCUUCUUCUGGAAAUUUCAAAUGAGUCUUCCAAUUUACUAUCUUCCUACAGGUUGACAUAGGAUCAUCUGAAUAAAAAGGUGGGUAUCCCACAAGCAUUUCAUACAUAAUAGCACCAAGUGACCACCAAUCACAUUCCAUC
rnacentral:misc_RNA from 1 species